rnacentral:rRNA from 1 species
AUUGAACGCUGGCGGAAUGCUUAACACAUGCAAGUCGAGCGGGCUGUAGCAAUACAGCUAGCGGCGGACGGGUGAGGAAUACAUAGGAAUCUGCCUCAGAGUGGGGGAUAGCCCGGGGAAACCCGGAUUAAUACCGCAUGAUGUCGUAAGACCAAAGCGAGGGGACCGUAAGGCCUUGCGCUUUGAGAUGAGCCUAUGUCGGAUUAGCUAGUUGGCGGGGUAAAAGCCCACCGAAGGCGACGAUCCGUAGCUGGUCUGAGAGGACGAUCAGCCACACCGGAACUGAGACA